UACGUAGGGUGCGAGCGUUAAUCGGAAUUACUGGGCGUAAAGGGUGCGCAGGCGGUCUUGUAAGUCAGAUGUGAAAUCCCCGGGCUUAACCUGGGAACUGCGUUUGAAACUACAAGACUAGAGUGUAGCAGAGGGGGGUGGAAUUCCACGUGUAGCAGUGAAAUGCGUAGAGAUGUGGAAGAACACCGAUGGCGAAGGCAGCCCCCUGGGUUAACACUGACGCUCAGGCACGAAAGCGUGGGGAGCAAACAGGAUUAGAUACCCUGGUAGUCCACGCCCUAAACGAUGUCAACUAGUUGUCGGAUCUUUAUAGAUUUGGUAACGUAGCUAACGCGUGAAGUUGACCGCCUGGGG
rnacentral:rRNA from 1 species